rnacentral:lncRNA from 1 species
AAGUUUGAGGAUCUAAACGGUCGAUUUAUGAGUUUAGGGACCGGAAUGAUAUGAUGGUACAAGUUAAGGACCGAUGGUGGACUUUACUCUUCUAUCUAUCUACAACUAAACAAAGUUCAGAGUAAUCAUCUACCCGGUGACACAAAAAAAUACUAUCCGAUCACAAAGCUUGCACUACCCAGUCACAAAAACUGCCAAAUACGUAUACUCAAGUCCAUGCCAGAUACGAGUCCACAAACUUAUACAAAGUCCAUAUCCAAGCCAAUUCUGAGUUCGCGUCAGGGUGUAAAAUCCUUUUGAUCCACGCCUCUAAAAUCCUCGCUUGCUUGCUUGCUUUCUCCUCCACACGUGAACUCCAACAUGCGUGGAACGCCCUUGGUCCUGUUACAACUCUUAAGCAACAAGUGUCAACUAAUUUUGAUUAAUCUAUCUUAUCUUUCUUUCUACAUCUAAAAAAACUUGGCCGAAAAAGAGAAGG